rnacentral:rRNA from 1 species
GAUGAACGCUGGCGGCGUGCCUAAUACAUGCAAGUCGAGCGAAGCGGGGACGGGUGAGUAACACUUGGAUACCCUCCUAUACGACCGGGAUAACUUCGGGAAACCGGAGCUACACCUGAUACUUUUAGAUGGAUCUGCGCUGCAUUAGCUAGUGGGUAAGGUAACGGCGUACCAAGGCAACGAUGCAUAGCCGACCUGUGAGGGUGAUCGGCCACACUGGAACUGAGACACGGUCCAGACUCCUACGGGAGGCAGCAGGAGGGAAUCUUCCGCAAUGGGCGAAAGCCUGACGGAGCAACGCCGCGUGAGUGAUGAAGGUCUUCGGAUCGUAAAACUCUGUUAUUAGGGAAGCGGUACCUAAUCAGAAAGCCACGGCUAACUACGUGCCAGCAGCCGCGGUAAUUC